rnacentral:rRNA from 1 species
UACGGGGGGGGCAAGCGUUGUUCGGAAUUACUGGGCGUAAAGGGUUCGUAGGUGGCUUGUUAAGUCAGACGUGAAAUCCCUCAGCUUAACUGGGGAACUGCGUUUGAGACUGGUGAGCUUGAGUGCAGGAGAGGAACGCGGAAUUCCAGGUGUAGCGGUGAAAUGCGUAGAUAUCUGGAGGAACACCGGUGGCGAAGGCGGCGUUCUGGACUGCAACUGACACUGAUGAACGAAAGCCAGGGGAGCAAACGGG